GACUGUAAGUAGGUGAUGAAGGGUGACCAAGGUGAGGGUGUAUCUUGAGUAUUGAUUACGUUUGGAGUUGAUAGAUUGUCUAUUGAUAUAUAAUCUGUUUUCCAAUGAGUGAUAUGUACAUUGUUCCUUGAUUUCCAGUUAAUUGUUUUCUUGGCAAUAGUCAGUGCUACUAGCAGUAUUUUAUUGCAUGAGGUGCUUAAAUUGAUUGUGGUUGUAUGCAUAGGGAAGGGGUAGCUUGGAUGUGACAGCCAAAGAUAGAAGAGAAUGAUUCUGUGACGCUUACCCAAAAUCGGCUGACUGCAUGCAUUGCCAGACAGCAUGAAUGUAUGUGUCUGGGUUAUUUUGCAUGCAGUGAGAACAUAAAUCAGAACCAAACCCCAUUUUAGACAAUUUCUGUGCAGUGAAGUGAGAUCUGUGAAGCACUUUGAAUAGUAUUAGUUGUAGAUCACUAUUUGUUGUCAUGAUGUAGACGUUUUUACAGAUUUGGGUCCAGAAGUCGGCACCGGGAGUUAUGGACAAGUCUGAUUACUAUUUGUGAUAUGGCAGGCUUAAUUGUGUUUUUCUGAAAGAGAU